AUUGAACGCUGGCGGCAGGCCUAACACAUGCAAGUCGAGCGAGCGGCGGACGGGUGAGUAAUGUCUGGGAAACUGCCUGAUGGAGGGGGCUAACUACUGGAAACGGUAGCUAAUACCGCAUACCAUCAGAUGUGCCCAGAUGGGAUUAGCUCGUGGGUGGGGUAAUGGCUCACCUAGGCGACGAUCCCUAGCUGGUCUGAGAGGAUGACCAGCCACCCUGGAACUGAGACACGGUCCAGACUCCUACGGGAGGAAGCAGUGGGGAAUAUUGCACAAGGGGCGCAAGCCUGAUGCAGCAAUGCCGCGUGAGUGAAGAAGGCCUGCGGGUUGUAAAGCACUUUCAGCGGGGAGGCGUUACCCGCAGAAAAAGCACCGGCUAACUCCGUGCCAGCAGCCGCGGUAAUUC
rnacentral:rRNA from 1 species